GCUGCUUCUCAGCCUUUUGGCUAAGAUCAAGUGUAGAAUCACAGUAUGCUAUGGUUAAAUAUAUCCACUUUUUAAUAUUCCUGGCAGCCAGGAUGAAAAAAAAUCUUUAAAUUUACAUCUCAUGUAGAUAAUAGCUUCU
ensembl:snRNA U2 U2 spliceosomal RNA